rnacentral:lncRNA from 10 species
ACAACACUUGUGAUGGUUCAACCCAACAGCCAUUACCUGUGACUUUUGAGAUGCCCUGUCCCUGUUUCUGCCCGUUCCUGUCUCCUGGCCCUCAGGAUCAUAAAGGACAGUGAGGAAGACAGUUAUGAGAUGAAGGGCUUCACCCUCCGAGUGGCCGCUGUGCAGGCUGGGUGGUCAGAGAAGCAGAGGGCUGAGGCCCAGAAUGGGUUUGCAUGUUCUGUUUCUGCAGAAAGUGAGGCAGCACCCCAUCCUUCCCAACCCCAAUACCUAGAAUGGGGGCCAGAGUAGGGAGGGAAUGUGUGGAUCUGCUUCUGAGAUGGGUCUCACCCCAGCCCCCAAAGCCUGGACCUGAGUCCCCAGGAGACAGGGGCUACAGGGGAAUCUCACCAGGGAAUGGCCCCUUGUGGGGGCCCCACAGCAGGGGCUGGGGGCAAAGUCUCCCCUUCUACCAGACACAAGCACAGGCACACUCCUGGGGGCCGCCUGGCCCAGGCCCAGGUCAUGCCGAGCACAGGGUGCUGCUGGUGGCCACGCCUCUGCUUAGCUUCUGAGGUGGGGGCAGUGGGCUGUGCCUCCUCAAGGACUGAGGUGAGUGGGGACACAGGGCCAGGUCAGAAGCACAUCCAGACACACAGCUGCUUCAGUAACGAAACCCACAGUCAGCCAGGAAGUAAACAAAUUACAGGCUGCACUUUGUUAGCUCUGGGGAACAUGAACGUGAGCAGACACUACUGAUUUCUCAUCAAACAAACAGAAGGCGGCGUCAUAAUCCAGAGACCCACUGCCAGGAGGGGCUGCAGCAUGUGCCCUGGGCUGCUGAUCUGCUGGGGUGCACCUGUCUUUGGGGGCCUUACACCAUUCGUCCAUAAUUCUAGCCUCUGCUCAGUGGUGGAUUUGUUUUCCCUCUUACAAGCUGGGCUGGGUAAGGCUAAAGCCUCCUGCAAGGCAGUGGCUCAGGUGUCCUUAGGAGACAUACCAGGUCCAGGCCCAGGCUGAACUUCCUGACAACCUUAAGAAGGCAAAGGCCAGGCUCAGAGAAGUCCAACAGCUCACCCGAAGCUGCUCUGGAUUUGCUGGAGGCAGAGAAGCAGUGCCUCCCUCCCUGCGUGAGUCAAGGCUGACGUGGACAGUGAGACCUCCGUCCCCACUGCGAGCAGCGGGGGGCAUGCCAAGGUCCUAUCUGCCUGACUAGGGAGCCUCACCCAGCUGUUGCUGGCUGCUUGGUGGGGACUCAGGCUGCAAGCUGCUGAGAAUAUUAUUUAGCAGCAGCAGGAAUAAUAAUACAAUAAUAAUAUUAAUGAUAGUAACAAUAGUAAUGAUGACAGUGAUAAUAGCAUUUAUAGAACACCAUACGUGAAGAGCCUUACAUGCAUAUUGUCAUUUAGUCCUUACUGGAACCCUAUGAGGCUGGUACCAUUAUUUAUCCCCAUUUCACAGAAGGGAAAACUGGAGCUUAGAGCAGUCAAGGUUACUAGACUAGUAACUUUCCAAGGUUCUAGUUAGUAAGUGGCAGACCCCAGGCUCAUGCCCUUCCCUAGGAAGCUGUGCCGCCUCCUUCCCUCAGGUAGGGGAGGUGUGCGUGUGUUUUGUGUGUUUGUACACAUCGGGCUUGGACCCCUGCGGGGCUGGUGCUGCCCUGCUCCCUCGUGUAGGGGGUUCUGAGAAGCACUGGGCCCUGCCUAUUUGCGGGCUACUGACUCAACCACGAGCAGCAAGUGUUUCCUGGGAGAUAAUGAGGGGCCAUUCAUCUCUGGUUGCACCCACAAUUACCCAAAUUGCUAACCUUAUUGUGAAAAGUAGAAAUGCAAUUGAGUUGGUGCUGGAGGCAUGUUUGAGGGAGAGGAAGACCACUCAAAGUAAUUUAAUUAACUGAUGGCAAGUACAUUAAGUGGAGUUUUGCCUCUGCUUUUAUUUCUGAUGUCUUUCAGUGGAGCGCCAAGUAAUGCACAUGAAAUGCUCCCACAGACACAGGUGGAGCUGUCCCAGUACUGAUCAAUCUUUCCUGGCCAAACAUGUUUAAAAGCUGGCACUGCACCUUGUGAGCAGGUACAGUAGAGGACAUCACACUCACAAACAUGCACCCCAACACAGUCCAGUCUUUACAGAUAGGACACUGCUCUUUCUUGCUAAGUUCUCAGACAAGCCCUGGCCAUCGCAGGCCCAGAAAAUGAAGGGUUCUGCCCAUCCAGCAUCUGUCCAGCAAGCACCCACCAGGAUUGUGCUGCAUUGACAUUCAAAAUUGUAUAGGAUACUGGCUAUGUUCACCAUGGUGGGAAAUCACAAGAAAACAAUCCUGUCCAGUGUGACAAGGCUAGGGGAAGGGCACUCCUUGGCAGCUCUGCCCAGGGUAGAACCUCCAGAGUGGCCCCCUCUUUCCAUCUGCUUCCCCCAUGACCCCCAGGGUGUAGCUGAAGGGGCCUAGAGAGUAGGAGAGGACUAACUUUGGUGGUUCCUGCAGCAUUUCAUGCUGGGUCUCUCUCCCCACAAGUCUCAGAGUUGGAAGGGACCUCCAAGGUCACUGGGUUUAGCUGCCCUCUUGUGGCUAGCAGCAUUGCUGACCACAGUCCCUGCCUGAGCUUGCAUAUGCCCCUUGGGAUAAGGAGCUCAGCGCCUCCUGUGGCGGCUCUGUCUCCAUGGUGGGGCAGGUUUGAUGGCUGGAAUGGGGUUCCAUCUAAGGAGCCCAAAUUGAUCUCCUUUUGAGGUGCACCUUGUGCUAGUCCAACUCAGGGGGUCACACAGCCCAGGUCAGCUCCCUUUGCCCCAGCCCCUACCCCACCACCUUCGAGAUGUUAGCAGGAACUGACCAUUCAUCCCAUGGGUCUUUCUUUUCUGGGCAAGCAUCCCACUGUGGACCAGCUGUCCUGUCCUGAGCCAACAAGGCUAAGGCUGCCCUCUCUUCUGCAUGAAAAUUAUAUUCCAGUUACUGUAACCUAAGACCCGUCAGCUGUCCUGGCAGCUCACUACAUGGGUGACAUCACUCUGUCUUCUCACAUGAACUUCUGGGAAGCCACAUCACCUCUUGUGCCAAACCUGGACCAAUAAAUAUCCUUGAAUUAUGCCACUUCUUUAAGUCUAAUAGAAGGGAAGUAUUGCUAACGUUUUUCUUAUAGAUUAAUUCAUUGAGGAUCGGCAGGUUAAGAAAUUACUCAAAGUCACAAAGCUGACGUGGGUGAUGCUGGGACCCCAACGGAGGCUGCCUGGUUCCUCAGGGCACAGACGUACCCCCUGAUGGCCACACUAGGCUGCAUGAGCUCAGUUGCUUUCUUCUUCCACACAGCA